AGAGUUUGAUCAUGGCUCAGGAUGAACGCUGGCGGCGUGCUUAACACAUGCAAGUCGAACGGGAAAUACUUUAUUGAAACUUCGGUGGAUUUAAUUUAUUUCUAGUGGCGGACGGGUGAGUAACGCGUGGGUAACCUGCCUUAUACUGGGGGAUAACAGCCAGAAAUGACUGCUAAUACCGCAUAAGCGCACAGAACCGCAUGGUUCGGUGUGAAAAACUCCGGUGGUAUAAGAUGGACCCGCGUUGGAUUAGCUAGUUGGCAGGGCAGCGGCCUACCAAGGCGACGAUCCAUAGCCGGCCUGAGAGGGUGAACGGCCACAUUGGGACUGAGACACGGCCCAGACUCCUACGGGAGGCAGCAGUGGGGAAUAUUGCACAAUGGGGGAAACCCUGAUGCAGCGACGCCGCGUGAAGGAAGAAGUAUCUCGGUAUGUAAACUUCUAUCAGCAGGGAAGAUAAUGACGGUACCUGACUAAGAAGCCCCGGCUAACUACGUGCCAGCAGCCGCGGUAAU
rnacentral:rRNA from 1 species